CUGGCGAGCGCCUCCUCGCGGCGGAAGAUCCUGGGGUUCGCUGUGCGAGACAUGUCGGCGGGGUUUCACGUGAGUGACACUUGGUCCCCACGGGAUUGACAGCGACUAGCGGAGUGACAUGUGGACGUAGCUUCAGGUGACCUCACUGACUCCACCCCUUGUGAAGACCCCACCACUGACCCACAGGCCUUGGAGGGGCUGAUCCUGGAGAAGCCAAAGGACCAGGAGGACGCCAUGGGGGUGCUGUACAGGCUGAGCAGGAAGCAGAGCAGCACAGCGUCAUCAUGAGGGUAGCCAUCUUCACCUGGGGCAUCCACGGAGGCCCUGCCCAGGAAGUGACUUUCUCUCCACUGUAGGAGGAGCUGAUCCACGACUACUUGGACACCAGCACACCAGCGAAGGAUGCCGGAAGAAAAGUGUUUUGAAACUGACCCUACAAAUAAAAGAGUUCAUCAUGAAUGCGAUACCCUCCUAUACAGUUGUUAGAAGCAACCCUCCAUCUCCAACUCCAAAAAUAAAUGAAAACCAAACCACACAGUUGGAAAUCAGGGGUCUGCAACAACACAAGGAAGCAAGCAACCCAUGAGAAAACACUGGCAUGGAUGGAAACAGACUCACUGGAAAGAUGCAAAGCAAUGUCAGGUUACACAACAAAAGGCAAUUACAGUCAUAUGAGGGAGUGUUCGAAAAGUUGUAAUUUGAAAACUGUUUUUGGUUGUCCUUUAGUCGGCCUCCUCUGUAAAUUGUGACAGACAUCUCCUGACAACACUUAAAGCAUCUCAAACCAUCCUUGCCCUGAUCUGAGUUCUCAGAACAGAAGGACUACUGAGCCAGGCGUGGUAGCACAUGCCUGUGAUCCUACAACUCAGAAGACAGAAGAGGAAUUCUAGGUCAGCCUGGGCUAGACAGACAGCAAGACUCUUGUUUUGUUUUGAAAGGCUGGUGAGGUAGUUCAGCGGGUUAACUGCCUGGUCUAAGCCCAGUGACGUGAGUUUGUGUGCUGUGGAGCUUCUGCAAACCCUGCCCCUGCCAAAUAAAAACUCGUAAUUUAUAACUC
rnacentral:lncRNA from 1 species